GCGACGGUAGCUCAGCUGGUAGAGCAGGGGCCUCUUAAGCCCAAGGUCCUGGGUUCGAUCCCCAGCCGUCGCACCA
rnacentral:tRNA from 1 species